CGGUUAAGUUAGAAAGGGCGCACGGUGGAUGCCUUGGCACUAGGAGCCGAUGAAGGACGGGACGAACACCGAUAUGCUUCGGGGAGCUGUAAGCAAGCUUUGAUCCGGAGAUUUCCGAAUGGGGAAACCCACCACUCGUAAUGGAGUGGUAUCCAUAUCUGAAUACAUAGGAUAUGAGAAGGCAGACCCGGGGAACUGAAACAUCUAAGUACCCGGAGGAAGAGAAAGCAAAUGCGAUUCCCUGAGUAGCGGCGAGCGAAACGGGACCAGCCCAAACCAAGAGGCUUGCCUCUUGGGGUUGUAGGACACUCUGUACGGAGUUACAAAGGAACGAGGUAGAUGAAGAGGUCUGGAAAGGCCCGCCAUAGAAGGUAACAGCCCUGUAGUCAAAACUUCGUUCUCUCCUGAGUGGAUCCUGAGUACGGCGGAACACGUGAAAUUCCGUCGGAAUCCGGGAGGACCAUCUCCCAAGGCUAAAUACUCCCUAGUGACCGAUAGUGAACCAGUACCGUGAGGGAAAGGUGAAAAGCACCCCGGAAGGGGAGUGAAAGAGAUCCUGAAACCGUGUGCCUACAAGUAGUCAGAGCCCGUUAACGGGUGAUGGCGUGCCUUUUGUAGAAUGAACCGGCGAGUUACGAUCCCGUGCAAGGUUAAGCAGAAGAUGCGGAGCCGCAGCGAAAGCGAGUCUGAAUAGGGCGAAUUGAGUACGUGGUCGUAGACCCGAAACCAGGUGAUCUACCCAUGUCCAGGGUGAAGUUCAGGUAACACUGAAUGGAGGCCCGAACCCACGCACGUUGAAAAGUGCGGGGAUGAGGUGUGGGUAGGGGUGAAAUGCCAAUCGAACCUGGAGAUAGCUGGUUCUCUCCGAAAUAGCUUUAGGGCUAGCCUCAAGGUAAGAGUCUCGGAGGUAGAGCACUGAUUGGACUAGGGGCCCCUACCGGGUUACCGAAUUCAGUCAAACUCCGAAUGCCGAUGACUUAUCCUUGGGAGUCAGACUGCGAGUGAUAAGAUCCGUAGUCGAAAGGGAAACAGCCCAGACCGCCAGCUAAGGUCCCAAAGUAUACGUUAAGUGGAAAAGGAUGUGGAGUUGCUUAGACAACCAGGAUGUUGGCUUAGAAGCAGCCACCAUUUAAAGAGUGCGUAAUAGCUCACUGGUCGAGUGACUCUGCGCCGAAAAUGUACCGGGGCUAAACGUAUCACCGAAGCUGCGGACUGUUCUUCGAACAGUGGUAGGAGAGCGUUCUAAGGGCUGUGAAGCAAGACCGGAAGGACUUGUGGAGCGCUUAGAAGUGAGAAUGCCGGUAUGAGUAGCGAAAGAGGGGUGAGAAUCCCCUCCACCGAAUGCCUAAGGUUUCCUGAGGAAGGCUCGUCCGCUCAGGGUUAGUCGGGACCUAAGCCGAGGCCGAAAGGCGUAGGCGAUGGAUAACAGGUUGAUAUUCCUGUACCACCUCCUCACCAUUUGAGCAAUGGGGGGACGCAGGAGGAUAGGGUAAGCGCGGUAUUGGAUAUCCGCGUCCAAGCAGUUAGGCUGGGAAAUAGGCAAAUCCGUUUCCCGUGAAGGCUGAGCUGUGAUGGCGAGCGAAUUAUAGUAGCGAAGUUCCUGAUUCCACACUGCCAAGAAAAGCCUCUAGCGAGGUGAGAGGUGCCCGUACCGCAAACCGACACAGGUAGGCGAGGAGAGAAUCCUAAGGUGAUCGAGAGAACUCUCGUUAAGGAACUCGGCAAAAUGACCCCGUAACUUCGGGAGAAGGGGUGCUCUGUUAGGGUGCAAGCCCGAGAGAGCCGCAGUGAAUAGGCCCAGGCGACUGUUUAGCAAAAACACAGGUCUCUGCGAAGCCGUAAGGCGAAGUAUAGGGGCUGACGCCUGCCCGGUGCUGGAAGGUUAAGAGGAGCGCUUAGCGUAAGCGAAGGUGCGAAUUGAAGCCCCAGUAAACGGCGGCCGUAACUAUAACGGUCCUAAGGUAGCGAAAUUCCUUGUCGGGUAAGUUCCGACCCGCACGAAAGGCGCAACGAUCUGGGCACUGUCUCAACGAGAGACUCGGUGAAAUUAUAGUACCUGUGAAGAUGCAGGUUACCCGCGACAGGACGGAAAGACCCGUGGAGCUUUACUGCAGCCUGAUAUUGAAUGUUGGUACAGCUUGUACAGGAUAGGUAGGAGCCUUGGAAACCGGAGCGCCAGCUUCGGUGGAGGCAUCGGUGGGAUACUACCCUGGCUGUAUUGACCUUCUAACCCGCCGCCCUUAUCGGGCGGGGAGACAGUGUCAGGUGGGCAGUUUGACUGGGGCGGUCGCCUCCUAAAAGGUAACGGAGGCGCCCAAAGGUUCCCUCAGAAUGGUUGGAAAUCAUUCGCAGAGUGUAAAGGCACAAGGGAGCUUGACUGCGAGACCUACAAGUCGAGCAGGGACGAAAGUCGGGCUUAGUGAUCCGGUGGUUCCGCAUGGAAGGGCCAUCGCUCAACGGAUAAAAGCUACCCCGGGGAUAACAGGCUUAUCUCCCCCAAGAGUCCACAUCGACGGGGAGGUUUGGCACCUCGAUGUCGGCUCAUCGCAUCCUGGGGCUGUAGUCGGUCCCAAGGGUUGGGCUGUUCGCCCAUUAAAGCGGUACGCGAGCUGGGUUCAGAACGUCGUGAGACAGUUCGGUCCCUAUCCGUCGCGGGCGCAGGAAAUUUGAGAGGAGCUGUCCUUAGUACGAGAGGACCGGGAUGGACGCACCGCUGGUGUACCAGUUGUUCUGCCAAGGGCAUCGCUGGGUAGCUAUGUGCGGACGGGAUAAGUGCUGAAAGCAUCUAAGCAUGAAGCCCCCCUCAAGAUGAGAUUUCCCAUUCCGCAAGGAAGUAAGAUCCCUGAAAGAUGAUCAGGUUGAUAGGUCUGAGGUGGAAGUGUGGCGACACAUGGAGCUGACAGAUACUAAUCGAUCGAGGACUUAACCAAUUU
rnacentral:rRNA from 1 species